rnacentral:rRNA from 1 species
AAUGAACGCUGGCGGCGCGCCUAAUACAUGCAAGUCGAGCGAGAAGACGUAGCAAUACGUUUGUAAAGCGGCGAACGGGUGAGGAAUACAUGGGUAACCUACCCUCGAGUGGGGAAUAACGUAGCCGAAAGGUUAGCUAAUACCGCGUACGCCCUUGGACUUCGGUUCGAGGGAGGAAAGCGAUACCGUGGGUAUCGCGCUCUUGGUUGGGCUCAUGUCCUAUCAGCUUGUUGGUGAGGAACGGCUCA